UAUUAUUUUGUGUGUAAAAUUAAAAACUAAGGUAGUAAUAGUAUAAGGUCUAAAAACUUAAAGAAUUUGACGGUAUUUUAAUCUUUUCAGAGGAAUCUGUUCUAUAAUUGAUAAUACACGAUAAUAAGUACUUGAUUUAAUUAAUAAUUUGUAUACCGCCGUCGUAAGAUUAUUUUUUGAGAAAUGAAAAAUUUCAAAUUUAUAAAUUGAUUUAGAUGUCAGGUCAAGGUGCAGUUUAUAAUUAAGAAGAAAUGGAUUACAAUAUAAUUAUAUAAAAUGGAUUAAAAUUUUAAAAAUUUAUGAAGGUGGAUUUGAAUGUAAAGUUGUUUAUGGCAAUUUGAUAAUAGCUCUAGAGUAUGUACAUAUCGCCCGUCGCUCUCGUUUUUAUAAUUAUGAG
rnacentral:rRNA from 1 species